rnacentral:rRNA from 1 species
UACAGAGGUCCCGAGCGUUGUUCGGAUUCAUUGGGCGUAAAGGGUGCGUAGGUGGCGCCGUAAGUGGGGUGUGAAAUCCCGGGGCUUAACCCCGGGACUGCAUUCCAUACUGCGGUGCUUGAGGACUGGAGAGGAGACUGGAAUUUACGGUGUAGCAGUGAAAUGCGUAGAGAUCGUAAGGAAGACCAGUGGCGAAGGCGGGCCUCUGGACAGUUCCUGACACUGAGGCACGAAGGCCAGGGGAGCAAACGGG